CCUACGGGUGGCAGCAGUGGGGGAUAUUGCACAAUGGGAGAAACCCUGAUGCAGCGACGCCGCGUGUGGGAAGACGGUCCUCUGGAUUGUAAACCACUGUCCCCAGGGACGAAGAUGACGGUACCUGGGGAGGAAGCUCCGGCUAACUACGUGCCAGCAGCCGCGGUAAUACGUAGGGAGCGAGCGUUGUCCGGAAUUACUGGGUGAAAAGGGAGCGUGGGCGGGACUGCAAGUUGGGUGUCAAAUCUACCGGCUCAACCGGUAGCCGCACUCAAAACUGCAGUUCUUGAGUGAAGUAGAGGCAGGCGGAAUUCCUAGUGUAGCGGUGAAAUGCGUAGAUAUUAGGAGGAACACCAGUGGCGAAGGCGGCCUGCUGGGCUUUUACUGACGCUGAGGCUCGAAAGUGUGGGGAGCAAACAGGAUUAGAUACCCGAGUAGUC
rnacentral:rRNA from 1 species